rnacentral:rRNA from 1 species
AUUGAACGCUGGCGGCAGGCCUAACACAUGCAAGUCGAACGGAGUGGCGAACGGGUGAGUAACACGUGGGUGAUCUGCCUUUCACUUCGGGAUAAGCUUGGGAAACUGGGUCUAAUACCGGAUAUUGCAAGCUGAGCUCGGGGCCUAUGCGCUUGUUGGUGUGGUAAUGGCCUACCAAGGUGUCGACGGGUAGCCCGCCUGGGAGGGUGUACGGCAACAUGGCGACUGAGAUACGGCGCAGAAUCCAACGGGAGGCAGCAGUGGGGAAUAUUGCGCAAUGGGGGGAAGCCUGAUGCAGAGACGCAGGGUGGGGGAUAAAGGCCUUCGGGUUGUAAACUCCUGUCGACAGGGACGCGGUACCUGUAUAAGAAGCACCGGCUAACUACGUGCCAGCAGCCGCGGUAAUUC